rnacentral:rRNA from 1 species
AUUGAACGCUGGCGGCAUGCUUUACACAUGCAAGUCGAACGGUAACAGGCCGCAAGGUGCUGACGAGUGGCGAACGGGUGAGUAAUGCAUCGGAACGUGCCCAGUCGUGGGGGAUAACGCAGCGAAAGCUGCGCUAAUACCGCAUACGAUCUAUGGAUGAAAGCGGGGGACCGUAAGGCCUCGCGCGAUUGGAGCGGCCGAUGUCAGAUUAGGUAGUUGGGGGGGUAAAGGCUCACCAAGCCAACGAUCUGUAGCUGGUCUGAGAGGACGACCAGCCACACUGGGACUGAGACACGGCCCAGACUCCUACGGGAGGCAGCAGUGGGGAAUUUUGGACAAUGGGGGCAACCCUGAUCCAGCAAUGCCGCGUGCAGGAAGAAGGCCUUCGGGUUGUAAACUGCUUUUGUACGGAACGAAACGGUCUGGGUUAAUACCCUGGGCUAAUGACGGUACCGUAAGAAUAAGCACCGGCUAACUACGUGCCAGCCGCCGCCGCGGUAA